UGGAUUCUGGAAAGCCUGUGCGCGCGUUUAGUAAAUGGAGCACUAAACGGCCUGAAUUUGGCAACAGUGUUCCUCGAUCACGAGGAGGGGGGGGGUCAACUAUUCCUCUCCUACCCCCCAAAGUGCCAACGAGACUGGCAUUUAUAAAGAAAAGUAGAAGUGCUGCACCUUUGCGCAGCGGCCGCCUUUAGCUGAACGGUCCCCUCUGAGUGCACAAAGGCAGCUGCUGGAGGAACUGUUCAGUGCGAGAGACGAGCCGAGCGCUGAGAGGCGUAAUAAACAACCCCCGGCUAGCUACAGACAGGGACGCGGACUCGAAGUCGCUCCCCGGCCGAAGCCCGUAGCUUUACUCCGUGAAACCGGAUUCCAUCGUCAGGUUAAGACUUAUACAGGUGUUUGGGUAGAGGGAGAGCAGCAUGGUGAAGGCCAAAUCCGCUCCGAGGAAGACCUCUCAGCAACACACGAAGAGUUCCAGCAGGAUGGAGGUGGAGAUGGAGGAGAUCCCCCAGGACGAGCCCCAACCUGAGCCUGAGAACCAUGUUACCAGAGACCAGUGCUGCCAGACAGACGAGCCCCAGCCCAGCAGCCCUAACCCAAUGACUGACCUUAACCCAGGCCCCGACGCAGCCCCCAGGACACCGGGGUACUGCGUGGAGCCAGGUGACCCUCCUCUGUUGCAGCUGCAGCUCCAGACCUCCAAGUCUGGCAUCCAGCAGAUCACAGAGGUCUUCCGUUCAGGUACUGCCCAGCUGAAGCACAUGCUGCUGAAUGAGGUGGACACCAUCUUUGAGUGUAAGACAUGUCGCAGCUUGUUCCGGGGCCUGCCCAACCUCAUCACCCACAAAGAGUACUACUGCCUCACCAGACUGUCCAAGCCGGACGAUCCAGCAGGCGAUGGGGACAAGCAGAGCGGGGCCAUGAAGGACCUCCUGGAGGCCAUCUACCCCAGGAAGGACCGGCCAGACUACGUGAUGCGCCUGGAGCCAAUCCAGACCUCCAAUAACGCUGUGUUCCAGUUCAUGUCCUCAGAGGAGGAGCUGGCCCACUUCCCCCGGGCUCCACACACCCCUGGAGGGACCCACACACACAGCCCUGAGCCCUGGGGGGAGCAGGGAGGGACGCCGGAGAAUGGACAGACUGGAGAGGGGGAGGACAGGAGGAGUGACCAGGAGGAGGAGGGAGGAGAGGAGGCGGCGCAGCCCGAGGAGGAGGGGUCUACAAGCGGGGUGGAGGAUGUUACCAUCUCGUGCUGCCUGUGUGGUAAGGACUUCAACUCUCGCCGCAGCAUCCGCCGCCACUGUCGCAAGAUGCACCAGACCAAGCUGGAGGAGCUCCGGAAGUUCACCGAGACGCGCACCGUUCCCAUCAGCCUCCUCUCCAUGGUCAAAGGUCGGUCCCGCCCCUUGCACACGCCCAGCGGCAAGUCCUGCCCCGUCUGCUUCAAGUCCUUCGCCACCAAGGCCAACGUGCGGCGCCACUUUGACGAGGUGCACCGCGGCCUGCGCCGGGACACCAUCACGCCGGACAUCGCCACGCGCCCCGGCCAGCCGCUGUCCCUGGAGGCCACGCCUCCCCGCAAGAGCGCCAACUCCUCACCAACGAGAGGUCACACCCCAAAGAGCGGUGGAGCCGCGGCUGCUACCACCCCUCAGCCCCCCAAAAGCUCCACCGCAGCGCCCCCUGCCCCUUCUCUCCUGGCAUCGGCCCUGUACAACCUGGCCUCCUGCCGCUGUCUGCUCUGCAAGAGGAAGUACAGCUCCCAGGUCAUGUUAAAGAGACACAUGCGCAUCGUCCACAAGAUCUACAAUCUCAAGAACCUCAAGAACGUUAGCUCCGUCUCCAUGACCACGGCCGCAACCACGGCGACCAACAAAAACAACAGCAGCAAAACAGCGACCAACACUGACAGCACCCCUAGCAACAGAACCCCUAUCAACAGCCUGAGCGUGAAGGAGGAGGCGGUGGAACCCUGGGACGACCCCGACUCCAGCCCCGCCUCGACGCCAGGCGACACGGACGGGAGGGACACGGACAGGAAGGGCGUCGCCGUGGCAACCAAGGCAGGUCAAAAGAUCAAAGAGGAAGAGGGUGGCGGAAGCCCCAAGACAUGGACUCGUUCCACGUCCAUCAACAGCACCGGUGGUACUAGUAGCGGGACUCUUGGGAGACCCCCUCAGAAGCUCUCGGUGGGUUUCGACUUCAAGCAGCUGUUCUGCAAGCUGUGCAAACGUCAGUUCAGCUCGCGCCAGAACCUCACCAAGCACAUCGAGCUGCACACGGACGGCACGGACAUCUUCAUCAAGUUCUACCGCUGCCCGCUCUGCCGCUACGAGUCCCGGCGCAAGCGCGACGUCCUGCGCCACGUGACGGUGGUGCACAAGAAGUCGACGGGCUACCUGGCCAAGAUCGUGCCCAAGCUGGAGUCGCGUGCGGUCAAGCGGCCGGCUGAGGUGGUCCUCAACUCUGCCCCCAAUGCCAACAACAACAAGAGAGGAGGAACAACGGUCAAGGAGGAGGUGAAUGGGUGCCACUCGGCCCCGUCCCCCCCUACGCCCCCAGUCACACGCAAACAGGAGCUCCUCAACAACUCCUCCUACCCAGUCACACGUAAACAGGACCUCCUCUCCUCCACUCCGGUCACUCGCAACCAGGAGAGACAGGAGAGGCAGCAGGAGGCCCAAACCGGGUCACCUGUCUCCCGUAAGAACGACAAACAAGUCCCCGACACCUCCGCCCCGACGCCCCUCCACACGCGUCGCCAUGACGCCCACCAGGAGAGCAGCAGCAGUACAGAGGUGCGUGUCACCAAGAACUUCUCGCUCCACGCGUGUGACGUGUGCGGCCGGGCCUUCGCCAAGAAACUCUACCUGGAGUCCCAUAAGAGGAGCCACCGGAACGCCACGCCACCGGUCAGCACGCCGCCCAGCGGCGCCAGGGCUAAGGGGGUCAGCACUCGGUCCAAGGCACUGCUCUGAACAGCCUCAAUUCAUCAGGGUAUGGGCUCGACAAUGUGUCGAAAGCAUUCUACAGGGAUGCUGGCUCAUCUCGACUCCACAGUUGUGUCAAGUUGGCUGGUUGUCCUUUGGCACCUGCUACCAUACCCCUGUUCAAAGGCACUUAAAUAUGUUGUCUUGCCCAUUCACCCUCUGAAUCCUUCUUCAACCUGUCUCCUCCCCUUCAUCGACACUGAUGGAAGUCACCCAGAUUCAACUGAUCCCCAGUCCCGUCUCACUCCUGGUUCUUGGAAGCCUCCAUCCUGAGAGGAGAGACCCAACGGAUGAAAGAGCACCGCUAACGAUGAUGAAGAAAGUAGCUGGGCUGGGAAAGUGGUGCAAGCGAAACAGAGAGAGGGAGGAGAAGGGGUGAAAGAAGGAGAGACUUCACAUCUAAGGGACCAAAAGUAUUGUUGGAACCCUGCACUGGAAGGAGGGAUGGGAGCCAACGUGAUGCCAGAGGAGUGGAGUCAGUGGACACUCAAGGAGCCAUCUGCGGAGGCACUGAUGCUAUCACACUGCUGUGUGUAGGUUACCAUCAUUGUAUGUACAUGUAGAUCCAUAUAUAUAUAUAUAUAUAUAUAUAUAUACACACACACCUGAACCUGGUCUAGACUUGAGCCUGUAUAAACCUUAGGGGUGGGGAGAGAAGAGGGCAGGGUUGGGAGCGCUCUUAGCACACCAUAGAUAUCCCAUAUCUGACCAGUAGAGGGUGCUCCAGUUCUGCUUUAUAGGAUUAGACUUUAAGGUAGGGCUCUCCAACCCUGUUCCCGGAGAGCUACCCUCCUGUAUGUUUUCACGCCAAACCCAGUGGUGUCUUACCUGCUUCAUCUUAUCAACUAGCUAAUUAUUAGAAUCAGGUGUGCUAGAUUAGGGUUGGGGUGAAAAACCUACAGGACGGGCUGGAGAGACCUCCCCAUGUGUAUGCUGUGAAGUUGGCCCAGCCAGAGCCAGCAGUAGUGAUGUUAGUGGUUUAUUUCCUCAACUCAUAGUAAGCUAUCCAUCCACUGGGAAAGACUCCAUAUUAACUCAGUUCAUCCAGAUAGGCUUGAGUUUUUCUGGCAUUCCAAGAGAUAUAGUUUGGGUGAUUAUCUGACAGAGAAAGACAAGUAGAUGGCUGACUAGCGAUACUCUGGCACAUUGAAGAGACGGUGACCAUUUGAUUGAUUGAUUGGUUGAGUGGCUAUGGCUGUGUUUAAACAGGCAGCCCACUUCUGACUUCUUUUCUUUUCUCGCUAGUUGGACUUUUGACCAAUCAGAUCAGCUCUGAAAAAGCUCUGAUAGGCAAUUCUCAUGAAACUGUAAAAUGAAUUAAAGUGUAAUUUUUCACGGAA